rnacentral:antisense_RNA from 1 species
ACUUAUGGUAGUUGUACGUAGGGCGUCUUCGGGCGCGCCGGUUUUUUCGGAUGAAUUUCCCCGGUCUACUAACCUGCGUACAGCUGCCACCCUA